GUCCGUAACGGGCGCAGGCGGGCGGCGGGACCCGGGGGCGCCCCGCCGCCGCCCCCCCCCCUCCCCCAGCUCCCCGCCGCUGCGCUCACCUGCACGCCCAGGUAGGCCAGGUGGGGCUCCAGGCCGGGCUCCAGCGCCAGCAGGAAGGCGGAGGCGGCGGUGCCCCCCGCCGCAUUGGCCAGCCCGAUCUCGGCCGAGACCUUGGCCAGCAAAACUCCAGGAGUGGGAGCUUCAAAAGGCCAAAACUUCAGAGCCUUGUGAUAAUACCCUGCCGUCUGACGGCCCGAGAGAAGGCGUCCGGCACAGCCCCGCAGGACAGACGGCUGCUCGGCGGGAGGGACGAGGCAGCCGUGUGCCGAAGGCAGGCCAGGGCUGGGAGCUGCUGGCAGGAGUUUGGCCCUGAGCUAAGAAAACACCGAUAAUAAAUAUCUAAAUGAUGCUACAGCAGAAAUGUUGCUGGCAGCCAAGGCAGGGUAACUGAGCCUGAACUAACUUAGAGGUGGAGAAAGGAAAAUGUUAGUGGUUUAACACAUGACAGUGGGGAGAGGGCAAUUGACAGAUAAAAGCACGAAACGGAUGUUGUCUGCCGUGACUGCUGGAGCAGGGCUUUUGCCUGGGAGCUCUGUGGGACAACAGGCUUUUUGUGUUUGUGUAAUGUGACCCAGGGCUGGACCCUUCUUAAUAUCUUCAUGUGAGUCACCAAAGGAGCUCUCUGGAUCGGGCUGAGAUUGCGCUGGAAGCACUGGAAGGGGAUUUCCUAAAUGUUGUAGAGAUGGGAUCUGGAAUCAAACAAACCCUCGGCAAUGGCUAAAAUAGGAUGUUUCCCGAGCAUCACCUCUUAACUAGUAUUCCUCCCCUAUGACCACUGUUCUCCCAAUUCCUGUCGUGAAAGUUUUCUUCACAGGAAAUGCUCUUCAACAGCAGUAACACCCUGGGGGCUGCAGGCUGGGGAGCAGCCUGAGCGAGGUGAGCAGUGCCCCUCUGCCGUCUGCACACCAGGCACUGCCCCCGCUGCAGACAGUGUGCUGCAGAGAGAGCGUCACCCAGACAGCGUGUCACCCAGAGACCGUCACCUGUGGAAACACCAUGCACCCGGGAAGGAGCCGUGCCAGCCCAGCCGUCUGCCAGGGCAGGGGGAUGAGAGCAGCCCCAUAAAUGCCUCCAGCAGAAUGGUCCAUUGGCAGAACUGUACCCAAGGAAAAUCCCUGUGCUCUUCUGCUUUUAGAGGGCUGAUGCCAAACUUGGAGCUGUGUGAUCUUUAAGAGCAAUUUGUUCUCAAGGAGGAGAGGAGGGGAAGUUGUUUUCCUAAGGAGCAGGUAGGCUGUGUCCACAGGAGCACACUGAAGUCUGUAGCAGUAGGGAACACGAUUGAGCUCAGUGUAAGCCUCACAGCAGCAGGCAGGUUACACUGGGAAUAUAUAGACAGUGAUGUUUUGCUUUCUGAGGAGCCCAGAUGAGGGGUAGGAGAUAUAAAAUAGGUUUGUGCAUGGGCACAGUGUAAACAGUGCAAGUCAUCCUGGCAACACCUUACCUUGUAGAUAAGGUAUCUAUUUACCUUGUAGAUAAAGCCUUAACACAAAUCUAACCAUGAUCCUGAAAAACUCACAGGCAUGUGGCUGUCGUGAUGUUGUGACGUGGGGCGGGAAGUGCUUUGGAUUUGAUUGUUGUUUCACUGUUUAAUGCUAUGCAUGUAAAACUGAGGCAGCUUUCUGGAGCUGUGAGUGGGAGGCACAGGUCACUUCUCUUCCAUCAUCAGUCCUGGACUACUGAGGCUUUGAAAUCCUGAGCCACAAGAGCAUGGGUAAGAUCUGGCUGAUUGACAGCAGAGUUUACUUGGCCAGGAGGAU